CCGGAAUUAUUGGGCGUAAAGCGCGCGCAGGCGGUUCUUUAAGUUUGGUGUGAAAUCUUGCGGCUCAACCGCAAGCGGUCAUUGGAAACUGGGGGACUUGAGUGCAGAAGAGGAAAGCGGAAUUCCACGUGUAGCGGUGAAAUGCGUAGAGAUGUGGAGGAACACCAGUGGCGAAGGCGGCUUUCUGGUCUGUAACUGACGCUGAGGCGCGAAAGCGUGGGGAGCAAACAGG
rnacentral:rRNA from 1 species